rnacentral:rRNA from 2 species
ACAACGCUGGCGGCGUGCUAAUACAUGCAAGUCGAGCGAACCAACUAAGAAGCUCUGCUUUUCUGUUGGUUAGCGGCGGACGCGGUGAGUAACCACUGUGGUGUAAUCCUGCCUGUAACGACCCGGGAUAACUCCGCGGCAAACCGGUGCUAAUACCCGGAUAGAUUAUCUUUCCCGCCUGGCACGCAGAUAAGGAACACGAUGGCUAUUGCCAUCACUUCACAGAUGGGCCCCGCGCGCGCAUUACCUAGUUCGGUGAGGUAACGGCUCACCAAUGGCGAUCGAUGCGUAUGCCGAUCCUGUAGAGGCGUGACUCGGCCACACUGGGCACUGAGCACACGGUCCAACAUCCUCAUACGGGAGGCAGCAGUAGGGAAUCUUCCGCAAUGGACGAAAGUCUGACGGAGCAACGCCGCGUGAGCGAAGAAGGUCUUCGGAUCGUAAAGCUCUGUUGUUAGGGAAGAACAAGUAUCGGAGGAAAUGCCGGUACCUUGACGGUACCUGACGAGAAAGCCACGGCUAACUACGUGCCAGCAGCCGCGGUAAUACGUAGGUGGCAAGCGUUG